rnacentral:rRNA from 1 species
AUUGAACGCUGGCGGCAUGCUUUACACAUGCAAGUCGAACGGCAGCGCGGGCUUUGGCCUGGCGGCGAGUGGCGAACGGGUGAGUAAUACAUCUGAACGUGCCCAGUAGUGGGGGAUAGCUCGGCGAAAGCCGGAGUAAUACCGCAUACGACCUGAGGGUGAAAGCGGGUGAUCUUCGGACCUCUCGCUAUGGUAGCGACCGAUGGCAGAUUAGCUAGUUGGUGGGUUAAAGGCCUACCAAGGCGACGAUCUGUAGCUGGUCUGAGAGGACGACCAGCCACACUGGGACUGAGACACGGCCAAGACUCCUACGGGAGGACACAGUGGGGAAUUUUGGGCGGUGGGCGCGCGCCUGCUCCCGCGCUGCCGCGUGUGUGAUGCAGGCCUUAGGGUUGGAAAGAACUUUUGGCGGGAGCGAAACGGACUGUGCACCUACCACGGUUCACUGCCGGUCCCCGCUGCCUAAGCCCCGGCUCCCUCCGUG